rnacentral:other from 1 species
AAUUCCCUACCGUGUUCGCCAGUGCCAUAUAUUCCUUGAACCAUUUAUGUGCACAGGCUGCGGGAAUUGUUCGACAGGUGUGAGCGUCGCUAGUUCGAUGAACCCGAAGUUGAAACGACUGCGGCCAACUUGAACCGUCUGGUUCAGGAUGCCGGCAUAGCGGCAUUGGUGGGGACUUA